AUACGGAGGAUGCAAGCGUUAUCCGGAUUUAUUGGGUUUAAAGGGUGCGUAGGCGGGACUGUAAGUCAGGGGUGAAAUACUGCAGCUUAACUGUAGCAUUGCCUUUGAAACUGCCGUUCUUGAGUACAGUUGAGGUAGGCGGAAUGUGGUGUGUAGCGGUGAAAUGCAUAGAUAUACCACAGAACGCCGAUUGCGAAGGCAGCUUACUAAGCUGUUACUGACGCUGAGGCACGAAAGCGUGGGGAUCAAACAGGAUUAGAUACCCUGGUAGUCCACGCUGUAAACGAUGAAUACUUGUUUUCGGCGAUAUAAUGUCGGAGGCAAAGCGAAAGCGAUAAGUAUUCCACCUGGGGAGUACGCCGGCAACGGUGAAACUCAAAUGAAUUGACGGGG
rnacentral:rRNA from 1 species